AAACAAAAAACAAACAAAAAAAAAACAGGAGGAGAGGGAAGAGGAAGAGGGAGGGUGAACAAGAGGAGAAACUGUCAAAGUAUGAAUUUGCAUUACUGGAAGCAAAGGGGAAACUAACAGGAACCAGGAGGCACCAGGAAAAAAUCCGGUCUCUCACACAUAAACACAGAAGCUCAGGCUCCACGCGGCACAGUGCAAAAAAAAAAAAAAAAAAAAAAAGAAAGCGCUGUAUUAAAUUUCUAACUGUUAGAACUUUCUUCCACAGCAGGAGGUUAUCCUUUCCACCCUGGAGACAUGGAUCAUUAGACAGGAGCUUCUUUAAAGAGAAAGAAACUAACAGUGGUGAAAAAUGCUCUCCAGGAUAAACCGAGUGGACAAAGCAUUUUGAAUGACUGUGGUGGUGAUACACACACAGGCUGGCAAAACCAGGCAUUCUUCUAUUGGUUAAUGUGCUUCGUCCUACAUCCAAAGGUACAGCAGCUACAGACGCCAGUAUUUUACCGUUCUUUCGAAAGAACGGUAAAAUACUGGCAGCUAUAGACGCCAGAAGUUUACCGUUCUUUCACAGUAUCUAUACCAUACUUGCUUUGACGGUAAUCUACUGUCAGGAUUAAUUAUGGUACAGCUACUGUGCAUUUACAGUAAACUUCUGGCAUCUAUAGCUGCCAGUAUUGGACUGUAA